UUUUAGCAGAAACGGGGUUUCACCAUGUUGGCCAGGCUGGUCUUGAACUGCUGACCUCGUGAUCCACUCGCCUCAACCUCCCAAAGUGCAGAUUAUGCAUUCUUAACACAACCCAAUAACACCCAUCACACCGAAGGAGGCCAUGCUGAAGCCAGUGCCAUCAGCAACAGGAAGAAGGCAAGGAUGCCUACUGUGAUUCAACAAUGAUUCCAAGAAGCCAUCUUGGACAAUGAGGUGACUGUAAGGAUGGAGAUUAAUUCGAGGACAGUGGAGUGGAACGAUGGAGGCCUGAUGAACGUGAAGCCACCAUUUUAGCCCUGGGCUACCUAUCUCUGAAAUUAUUUUAUCUGACGAGAGAAAUAAACUUCUAUUUUGUCUCAGCUACUAUUGUUUUAGGACUUGGCUAUGUCACAGAUCUAAAACCCACUUGAUUUACUCCUGCAAUCAAAAUAUAUUGACACAGAAAAGACAACAAAUAAAU
rnacentral:lncRNA from 10 species